rnacentral:piRNA from 1 species
UCUCUGAAACAUGGGAAGGCUGCGGG